GGGGAGGUAGUUCAGUGGGUGAGAGCACUUGCUUGGCAAGCAUAAAGACCUGAGUUCAAAUCCCUAGCAUCCACA
rnacentral:tRNA from 1 species